GUGGGGAAUUUUGGACAAUGGGCGCAAGCCUGAUCCAGCAAUGCCGCGUGCAGGAAGAAGGCCUUCGGGUUGUAAACUGCUUUUGUACGGAACGAAACGGUCCUGGUUAAUACCUGGGGCUAAUGACGGUACCGUAAGAAUAAGCACCGGCUAACUACGUGCCAGCAGCCGCGGUAAUACGUAGGGUGCAAGCGUUAAUCGGAAUUACUGGGCGUAAAGCGUGCGCAGGCGGUUUUGUAAGAUCGAUGUGAAAUCCCCGGGCUCAACCUGGGAACUGCAUUGGUGACUGCAAGGCUGGAGUGCGGCAGAGGGGGAUGGAAUUCCGCGUGUAGCAGUGAAAUGCGUAGAUAUGCGGAGGAACACCGAUGGCGAAGGCAAUCCCCUGGGCCUGCACUGACGCUCAUGCACGAAAGCGUGGGGAGCAAACAGGAUUAGAAACCCCUGUAGUCC
rnacentral:rRNA from 1 species